ensembl:lncRNA
GCCGGGGCAGCGCGGUGGGAGCCGCGCGGCGCCCCGGCCCUCUCCCAGCCCUGCCGCAACAUUUAUUGCAAAAGCAGGAAAUCGCUGAUUACUAAACUAGCUGGCAAGGGAGCGGGAGCCGAUGCUGUUCCCCCCUGGCACGGCACUUGCCUAGCCGCUGCCUCCCCUGCCUCUCCUUGUUCCGCUCUUUCUUCUUCUUCUUCUUCCCCCUCUUCCUCUCCGCUCUCUCUCGCUCUCUCCUCUCCUUUUUUUUCAUUUUGGCUUCUAUUCAAAUGUGGGUCAGGGGUGAGCGGCUCCCAACGUCACAAGCUUGCAAGAUGGCGCUGGGAGGAAGGCUGUGAGAUGAGGAACAGGCUGGUAUAAACCGAGAGGACAGGAGAGGGAGAGGAGGAGGAGGAGGAGAGGGGAAGGGGAAGAAAAGCCGCUGCUCCAGAUGCAAUAAGAAGGUUCACAUGAAAUGGCACCUGGGCUACACACCAGCUGUGCAGUUUCAGAGACUUAUCAGUAGCUCUCUAAUAGCCAGACCAUCUAAUACCAUAUGCCAAAGGCUUGGGAUGUUCCCCACCCAUGAACUGGUUGGACAAGAAAGAAGGAAGAGGAGUCCAGGUCACAGUUCAGAGGCUCCGGAGAAAGCAGGCAUGACACUAUGAGUCUCGCUGGAUGUGUGUCGCGUGCUCGUUGCCCAGGUGCCCUCCGCGUAAAAGGGUUUGACAAAGUGGAGUCCCAGAUGGACUCGGAUGCUUCUGUGUCAGAGACGGCUCUGUGUGAGAUGUCGGUGCGGCUCUGGGUUGGAGUACAGAGGCAGACAAACACGGGGAAGUGGUUGAUGAAUUCAUGUUCCUUCCACCUGGCAAACUCAUGCCUGAAAUGCUGAAAGCACUUCAGCUCCAAAAGCCCUGAAAGCAUCGUGCACUAUGUGUGAAAACAUGAUGCAUCUUAUUGAGUGGGAAAAAGAAGUACUCUUUCACACCAGAGUUGCUUUAAAUUGGCCACUAAGGGGUUAAAUGAAUUGUCCAGUUCUGAGGAAGGCUGUUCCAAAAGAAGGCAUUGACUGGAAUAAGGUUUUGCUGCAGACACAAGCUGAUGUGCUUGCAGCGAAGAUUGCAGGCUUAUCAGUAAAGAUAAACAUGCAAGGGCUUCCAAAACCGUGUGCCCCUGCCACUUGUUUCGGAUCCUUUCUCAGAGACCAAGAGAAAAUGCAAAAUCUUCUCUAAGAUAGAUGCUCUUUCGAAGAGGGCAGCCAGCAGACUUUGUAGAAACAGAGGCCAUGUAUUAAUAUGUCAUUUGGAACAGGUACAGGAGAUAGUAGUUUACCUGGUUCAAAAUAGUACUUGAGUCCUUGCAGUAUCAUGUGGGGUUGGUUCUUUCCACUCAAUCAUCAGCCUUUUGCUGAGUGCCCAAAUGCUGUAAAACGCUGGGUUUUGUUGUCCUCAGUUACUUGCCCUGGCUAAUUUCUGCAUAUGGCUCUCUACUGCCAAGCAGUCUCCAGGCUUUACUACCCACUUGUUUGCCAUUUUCCACAAAUACUUUGAAUGUUCUUUUAUUUUAAUCCUAGUGCCGAGAGGAAGGGAAUGGAGAUAAUGUUUCCUUAACAGAAUGGAAUAAAAAUGGAUACAGAAUGUCUGGACA